rnacentral:rRNA from 1 species
AGGAUGAACGCUGGCGGCGUGCCUAAUACAUGCAAGUCGAGCGGAAAGGCCUCUUCGGAGGUACUCGAGCGGCGGACGGCUGAGUAACGCGUAGGAACGUACCCCAAAGUGAGGGAUAAGCACCAGAAAUGGUGUCUAAUACCGCAUGUGAUCUAAGGAUUAAAGCUUCGGCGCUUUGGGAACGGCCUGCGUAUGAUUAGCUUGUUGGUGAGGUAAUGGCUCACCAAGGCUUUGAUCAUUAGCUGGUCUGAGAGGAUGAUCAGCCAGACUGGGACUGAGAACGGCCCAGACUCCUACGGGAGGCAGCAGUAGGGAAUUUUCCACAAUGGGCGAAAGCCUGAUGGAGCAACGCCGCGUGCAGGAUGAAUGCCUUCGGGUUGUAACUGCUUUUAUAUGUGACGAAUAUGACGGUAGCAUAUGAAUAAGGAUCGGCUAACUCCGCGCCAGCAGCCGCGGU